CCAAGUAAAAACAAUUAUGGGUAUUGGCCAACUCCAAAAGACAAGCCGUGUAAUAACGGAGGGAUAUAUGUAAAUAAGAAAUGCGUCUGUCCACCAGGGUUUAAAGGAGAUAACUGUGCAUUUGCAUGUGGACCAAAUCUAUUCGGUUUUGACUGCACCGGCGUUUGUUCAAUGGAGGAUGAAUAUUGCAAAGGAACAAUGAUUUGUACAAACAUUUUCUCAUGCCAGUGCACUACUGGAUACACUGGCGAGUUCUGUGAAGAUGAAUGUCCUCGGGGAUAUUAUGGAUUCGGUUGUAACCAAAAGUGUUCAGAAAAUUGUCUUUCUGAUGAAUGUAAUAUAUUCUCCGGCGCAUGUACUGAAGGAUGCAAGAAUGGUU